GUGCUCGCUUCAGCAGCACAGAUACUAAAAUUGGAACGAUACAGAGAUUAGCAUGGCCCCUGCGCAACGAUGACAUGCAUAUUCGUGAAGCGUUUCAUAUUUAA